rfam:Schistosoma mansoni strain Puerto Rico chromosome 7, complete genome
AUCCAGUUGAUGAGUCCCAAAUAGGACAAAACGCGUGUCCUGUAU